rnacentral:tRNA from 1 species
GCCUGGGUGGCUCAGACGGUUGAGCGUCCGACUUCGGCUCAGGUCAUGAUCUCGCGGUCCGUGGGUUCGAGCCCCGCAUCAGGCU